rnacentral:rRNA from 1 species
AGUGAACGCUGGCGGUAGGCCUAACACAUGCAAGUCGAACGGCAGCACAGUAAGAGCUUGCUCUUACGGGUGGCGAGUGGCGGACGGGUGAGGAAUACAUCGGAAUCUACUUUUUCGUGGGGGAUAACGUAGGGAAACUUACGCUAAUACCGCAUACGACCUACGGGUGAAAGCAGGGGAUCUCCGGACCUUGCGCGAUUGAAUGAGCCGAUGUCGGAUUAGCUAGUUGUCGGGGUAAAGGCCCACCCACGCGAUGAUCCGUAGCUGGUAUGAGAGCAUGAUCAGCAACACUGGAACUGAGACACGGUCCAGACUCCUACGGGAGGCAGCAGUGGGGAAUAUUGGACAAUGGGCGCAAGCCUGAUCCAGCCAUACCGCGUGGGUGAAGAAGGCCUUCGGGUUGUAAAGCCCUUUUGUUGGGAAAGAAAAGCAGCAGGUUAAUACCCCGCUGUUCUGACGGUACCCAAAGAAUAAGCACCGGCUAACUUCGUG